GUGGCUAUAGCUCAAUGGUUAGAGCACUGGACUGUGGAUCCAGAUGUUGCGGGUUCGAGUCCCGUUAGCCACCCCA
rnacentral:tRNA from 1 species